GCCAGUGUGGUGUAAUGGUUUGAGCACUGGACUAUGAUUCUGGAGAUGAAGGUUCAAUUCCUACCUUGGCCA